CCUAUUUAGCAUCCGAUGCUGCAGCCUUCUUCCCCAGCCUUCCCACAGAAGGAAGACUGCUGUGAACUUUUUAAGUUAGCAUCUUAGAUCUCGCCAGCCCUUUGUCUGCAAAUAGCAUUUCACACACGUUCCUCAAACAAUCUCGGAUGAGUGAGUCAUUAAACCGUUUGCUGAAUAAUGAAGAACACAGAGGCCUGAAAUGGAGCUGAUAGACGGGCACAAAUGGUACCUAACUUCCCCCUCCGGUCCUAGCGGAGCAUCGUUCAUCCUUUCUGACCUCUGCGAGCGUCCCCGUCACUUUUAUUCGAUUAACACUUCCACUCAGUGCUGUCAUGAACAGAAAUCAACUUCUUUUGGACUAGGAGGAGUAAACUAUGCAAAUAACCAUCGAAGAGAUUGGCUGGAGUGUUAGUGAUGUCACAAUGCCACCGCCUAAGCCUACAAUUCUUACUGGUUUUUUAAGAGGAAGGGAGCACUAGGAAGGUUCUGUAGCAGUCCACAAUUGCCGAAAGCUCCGAGUUUAAACUAAAUUUUACCUUUUUUUUUUUUUUUUUUUUGGUCUGGUUUUCUUAAAAUGUGCCCAGAGCCUUUUUACAUGUUAUUGCAUUUCUCACAUUAUUCCAUGUUAUUACUUAGUUGUAUUCUCUAGGUCACUGUAACCAUUUAGAACAAUUCCUUUACAACCUAUCAAAUAAAUCUCUCACGGUUUA